CGGGAGACACAGGGGCCUUCCAGAGGUAGGGUCUACCAGGUCCUGUACAACCCCUGGGCUGUCACCGGGGGUCAACAGCUGCUGCUCCUAUAUACCCAAACACCUGACAGCUCCCUGGGGAGCAGAUGGCUGAGAAGGGUGCUGAGGAAGCCAUAUUGGGACCAGCCACAGCCACACACAUGGAGCCUCAUACUUAGGAGCGUGCUGCCUUUAAAUGAAGGUGGUCGGGGCCAGUGCAGCGGCUCACACCCAUAAUCCCAACACUUUGGAAAGCCAAGGUGGGAGGAUCUCUUGAACCCAGGAGUUUGAGACCAGCUUGGGCAACAUAGGGAGACCCUGUCUCUACAGAAACUUUAAAAAUUAGGCAGGCAUGAUGGUGCACACCUGUGGUCCCAGCUACUCAAGAGGCUGAAGGAGGAUCACUUGAGUCCAGAAGGUCGAGGCUGCAGUGAGCUGUGAUCAUGCCACUGCACUCCAGCCUAAGUGACAGUGCGGUACCCUGUCUCAAAAAAAAAAAAAAAAAAAAAAAGAGGUUGGAGCAGGAGGAAGCAUAGGGGCGGGAACAGCCACCUCCUCCAUGCCCUAGAUUGUGAAUUUAUCGGGCAGCCAACACAUGUAUGACACACUAGGCCCUGUAUUACAGCUUGUUACGCAUUUCAUAAAAGGGAUUUUCAUUAAGGAGAUAAUCUAUUACUACCUACCUUAGUGGCUACUAGUAUAAAACUAUGACAGAUUUAGCAAUUAAAUGAAAUACUGGCCUCCAUCAAAUAAUCAUAGUAACAAGAAGCAGCAGUUACCAGACAUCUGAUCCCCUUCCCCCAAAAUACCCAAAUUCUUCAUGGUUCUGCCCUUCUCUGUCCUUUCUGCUCCCCUUGCUCGCCUGGGAAAUGGAGGAAAGGCCUUCCCUCUCACACUGUCUUGGGAUCUUGCUGAGAAUUCAGACUGCUCGAAACAGUGACAAACCCCAGCCAUCCAGUCAUUCGUGGAGCACAAUUUGGAUGUGGCCCCAGGGGCAUCUGUCCCAUUCAGAGAACCUUGGCAGUGCGAUGGCCACUGUUCCCAGGCUUCAACCUCAGUGACCCCCCCCAACAACUCCCCAUGGAGAGUCCCUGCCCAAAAAAGCUGUAGGAUCCAAGGGGUGUCAAUAGCUCGUUCCCGGCAUCACCUACACACCACAAGCAGGUUUUAAUGGAAGCAAGUUGCUCCACCAAAUCCACAAAAGGGUAAAGUUUGUGAUUUUUCUUUAUCAUUGCGAUCACCAUCUGAUACCGUAAGGAGUGCACUUGUUUGGAAGUUCUGACUUCUCUGAUCUGUCUUGGUCGUUUGUGUUAUAAAACCAAAGUUCUCUACAGACUUUAUUUUUGUACAAUAUCAUUUUGUAACUUUUUACAAAUAAAAACUCAUUUCUAUUGC
rnacentral:lncRNA from 1 species